GUCUUGUUAGCUGCCAUUCCUGGGAAGGAGAAAGUGUCUUUAUAGAUAGGCAUGUCAAGGACAAAUAAUGGAGCUGAAAUGCAAGGGUGGAUGGCAAAUAAAUUGCAUCUUGUGAACUACCUCCAACUAAUUUCUGCCUGGAGCACUGUGUUUAAACGGAUUCCUAGGCCACAUCUGGAGGGACCCGAGGGGAAAAAAAAAAAAAAAGAGAUGUAACAAAGGUCCGUGGAAGAGUUGUCUUCAAGAAAACUGCUCUCUGGUGCCAAAAGUUUGGGGACCGCUCGUGUAAAUGCUUCUAAGAAUAGUUAAGCAACUUAUGCUUUACAUGCUACAAAGAAUACAGGUUUAAAUGCUAAUAAAAUAGGUGCAAAUGAAAACACUCUUUCUGUGGUCCAGGGAAUCUUAACCAUUCUAUCAGAAAGACUUGCAGCUUGGAGCUGCAGCUGCCCUCCCACAUCUUGUCCACUGUAAAGCCCUGCAACACACACACACACGCACACACACACACACACGUACACACAUACACAUGCAUAUACUUGCACACACACGCACACACACAUGCACACAGAUGCACAUACAUAAAUACAUUCACAUGUAUAUACUUGCACACACACACGCACAUAGAUACAUACACAUGCAUAUACCUGCACACACACACACAGACACACACACAUGCUGUGCUUCAUGCCCUCACUAGGGUGGCCUGGGAGGAAAUGCGUGCUUUUAGGAGAAAUGAAGACAACUCAGGCCCCUCAUUCUCCUGAUGUUUGCACAAGUGCCUCCUCUGCAGACCAGGCUUCAGUCUCUUUCUUGGUUCUCCCUCUUACUGAAAGAGAGAAGCAGAGGCCCAGCACCUACUCGGCUGCUUAGGGCUCAAGCCAAGUUCGCAAGCUUCCUGGGGAGCCUAGUAAGAUGAAGGCACUGCAGAGCUUCCCCAAAAGAGGCGUCGGCUUUUCAUGGAUCCUUGAGCCCAGCAAGGCAAUAAGUGAGACAUCACAGUUCAUCAGAAGACACAAGCAAACUCCGCCUCCUCUGUCUCUCUCCUUAUCUCUCUUCCUCUCUCUCUCUCUCUGUCUCACUCCCUUCUCCCCAUAUCUCUUUCUCUCUCCUUCUUUUCCACUCCUCUCUCCCUCCUCAUCUCUCUGCCUGCCACUGUUCAGGCUCCUGGGGCCCCACGUGGAUGGGCGGACACAGGA